rnacentral:rRNA from 1 species
AUGCACGCUGGCGGCGUGCCUAAUACAUGCAAGUCGCGCGAACGGACGAGAAGCUUGCUUCUCUGAUGUUAGCGGCGGACGGGUGAGUAACACGUGGAUAACCUACCUAUAAGACUGGGAUAACUUCGGGAAACCGGAGCUAAUACCGGAUAAUAUUUUGAACCGCAUGGUUCAAAAGUGAAAGACGGUCUUGCUGUCACUUAUAGAUGGAUCCGCGCUGCAUUAGCUAGUUGGUAAGGUAACGGCUUACCAAGGCAACGAUGCAUAGCCGACCUGAGAGGGUGAUCGGCCACACUGGAACUGAGACACGGUCCAGACUCCUACGGGAGGCAGCAGUAGGGAAUCUUCCGCAAUGGGCGAAAGCCUGACGGAGCAACGCCGCGUGAGCGAUGAAGGUCUUCGGAUCGUAAAACUCUGUUAUUAGGGAAGAACAUAUGUGUAAGUAACUGUGCACAUCUUGACGGUACCUAAUCAGAAAGCCACGGCUAACUACGUG